rnacentral:rRNA from 1 species
UACGUAGGUGGCAAGCGUUGUCCGGAUUUACUGGGCGUAAAGGGCGUGCAGGCGGUUUGUUAAGUUCAGGGUGAAAGCUCCCGGCUCAACUGGGAGAGGUCCUUGGAUACUGGCAGACUUGAGGAGGGUAGAGGAGAGGUGGAAUUCCCGGUGUAGUGGUGAUAUGCGUAGAUAUCGGGAGGAACACCAGUGGCGAAGGCGGCUCUCUGGGCCCUACCUGACGCUGAGACGCGAAAGCGUGGGGAGCGAACAGG